UACAGAGGUGGCAAGCGUUGUUCGGAAUUACUGGGCGUAAAGGGCGCGUAGGCGGCCUACUAAGUCAGACGUGAAAUCCCCCGGCUUAACCUGGGAACUGCGUCUGAUACUGGAAGGCUUGAGUAUGGGAGAGGGAUGUAGAAUUCCAGGUGUAGCGGUGAAAUGCGUAGAUAUUCGGAGGAACACCAGUGGCGAAGGCGGCUCACUGGUCCGGUACUGACGCUGAGGUGCGAAAGCGUGGGGAGCAAACAGG
rnacentral:rRNA from 1 species